UCUUCUGUGUUGGUGAGAUUGUGCCUUUAAAACGUACAGCUAGUCUGUGCAGUGUUACCACACAGUCCAGACCAACAUCUGGACAUCGGCAGAGCCCACACUCUGCCAAAACUCAGCUUGCUGGACUUGGACUUCUUCAAACAACUGAACCAAGUUAAUUCCAGCCGACAAGAGAUGGCAGCUCUGGAUACACGUGAGCGACAAAG